CGAGAUGCAAGCGCUUAUGGC
rnacentral:siRNA from 1 species